UCCACGCCGGCUCCCUGGGGCUGCUUGGGCCUGGCCCACUCCUGGACCAUGGGGACGUGGGGGUCUGCUGGGGCCGACGGAGGGGCGUUGGGGAGAGCUGGGGACUGCUCUUGAGAGGAGGUCGUAAAGGCCCCGGAGAGGGAGAGCUGCCCGAACUAGGGAGAGGCCCAGUUUCGAGAAUUUGUCUUUGUUGGACCCUGGAUGUCCUGUACCUUGCAUGGAGGUGACUUUGGACAGAAUGUGCUGAGGUCGUGGGGGCUCUUCAGGCAUCGCUCACAACAGGAUGCGGGCGGGACACUUGAAAAGCAGAUCCUUCAUAUCCUUUGAGCAACUCUUGAACUUCAAUUGGCUUGAAGCGUUAUCAGAGCAUCCUUGACUCGAUGCCAGGGCCUAACACCGCUUUAGUGCAAGCACAGAGACAAGCAAAAGAUAAUUGAUCUAUUUGGCAACUCCUGAUAUAUUCAGGCUAGUGUUUUCAUCUCACUGAAAAUUCAGAAUCAAAAUCAAAAACAGCUGAGGUAGUUACUUGGGUGCCUUCCUUCAGCUUAUUCAAAAGAAUAUAGGAUGAACGGUGAGAUGGCUGAGAUUGUCUAAACACAGAAGCUCUGCAGAAAAAGUUUCCUCUUACUAUUUGAUGGCUACGAAAGAACGAACACCUUGAUUCUGAAGAAUGUCAGCUGUCCUUCAGCUUGUAUCUCUGUUUGGUUUUCAGGGAGUUGGCUUCCAGCUUGAUAACAAAUCUCGCCCUUGCCUUGUGGUCUAGCCUUCUGGUACCGGGUCCUGUUUUUUGCCUUCUCAAUCCCCACUCUCUCCUUGUGUCCUCUUGUUUUGACCUUGGUUUAUUAACCCCAUUAACUAGGGCUACACAAACCUCUGGCAGAGGCCAGCCACACUCCUCGGGCUGUCCCUCCUGCAACGGCUGCUGGAGCCCAGGCCCAGCUAACUGGGAACAGACACCCGCUCUUGGUUAGCAUCUUCCCUCGGUGAGCCAGAGUUGAGUUCAAGUAGGUUAAAGCAUUACAUUUGUAAAUUUGUAAAGGAUCAAGUCGUGAAAAGAAGGGCCAUCUUGUUCUUUGAGACUUUAUUAGCCAGUAAAUGCAAUAUGAUACAUUUAUAGGAGUGAAGACCCGGGGUUUUCUGAACUUCAUUGAGCCAGAAAGAUGUGUUUUAUUUCAUAGAGUUUAUGGAAUGACUGCAACAUAGGUAGGCUUUUACAAGGCACCACAUCGACUUGAAGUAAUCAAAAAGUAAAAAUGGGCAAGGAGUACCUUGAGGUCUAAGUAUAAUUUAUAUACACAUUUACCCAAUCAAAUGCAAGGGCCCAAAGCCAUAUGUUUUUAAUUUUUGGUUUAAUUUUUAAGCUCUUUAGUUUGCUGUUUUGAUGUAAAAGAAGUAUGAUGAACUUAAAAAAAAAAUGUUGCUUGCUUCUUUCUACAAAGAUGGUGUUAUAAUAAAAUGCACCAACUAAAGUGACAAACAUAUCAGCAAAAAGUGACAUGACGUAGCAUUCAAAAGUCCUUCACUUUGACAAAAUAAAACGAAAUUCUGUGGUGAACCCUUUUACAGCUUGUUAUCAUUUUGCUAAGAAAAUAGAGCCAAUGGAAACUUUCAUAUGGAGAAGCUAAACCUAGGCAAGAAAGGUUUUCCAGAUGAUACUAAAAUCCUAAGCUGUAUUUUGACACAGGUCCUCUAUUUCUUGUUAUGUCAUGGAUUUCGGAAAAUAAACCUGAGAGGGAAAAGAUAGAAAUUUUAGGACUGGAAUGAGAACUGGUAUAAACUAUCAAGGAUAGGGAAUAUAAAUGGCAGAGAUAGAGAAUUAUUAGAUAGAUUGAUGAGAAAUAGAGAAGUUUUUGACUCAUUUGUUUACAUUUAUCAUUAGCCAGAAAAUUAGUUGAUUCGGUUAGUUAUUUGCAAGGAAGAACAUAAAUAA